rnacentral:pre_miRNA from 1 species
GAUUAAAAUUGAAAAAGUCAUCAACAACAAAGUUGUAUAACUCAUGAAUAUCUAUAACUUUUAUUUUGGUCAUAUCUUCAUCUGGUAAAGUGAUAUUAAUAUUGUUCACAAAAUUUACAUAUGGUAAACCAUAUAGGAGAUAUGUAAAUUUUGUGAACAAUCUUACUAUCACUUUGUCGGAUGAAAAAAUGACCAAAAUAAAAAUUGUAGAUUCAGAUGGAUUAUACAACUUUGUUGUUGAUGAAUUUUUCAGUUGAGGUC